rnacentral:snRNA from 1 species
GUGCUCACUUCGGCAGCACAUAUACUAAAAUUAGAACAAUACAGAGAAGAUUAGCAUGGCCCCUGCGC